rnacentral:rRNA from 1 species
GACGAACGCUGGCGGCGUGCUUAACACAUGCAAGUCGAACGGAAAGGCCCUGCUUUUGUGGGGUGCUCGAGUGGCGAACGGGUGAGUAACACGUGAGUAACCUGCCCUUGACUUUGGGAUAACUUCAGGAAACUGGGGCUAAUACCGGAUAGGAGCUCCUGCUGCAUGGUGGGGGUUGGAAAGUUUCGGCGGUUGGGGAUGGACUCGCGGCUUAUCAGCUUGUUGGUGGGGUAGUGGCUUACCAAGGCUUUGACGGGUAGCCGGCCUGAGAGGGUGACCGGCCACAUUGGGACUGAGAUACGGCCCAGACUCCUACGGGAGGCAGCAGUGGGGAAUAUUGCACAAUGGGCGGAAGCCUGAUGCAGCAACGCCGCGUGCGGGAUGACGGCCUUCGGGUGGUAAACCGCUUUCGCCUGUGACGAAGCGUGAGUGACGGUAAUGGGGAAAGAAGCACCGGCUAACUACGG